rnacentral:rRNA from 1 species
CGGCGUGCUUAACACAUGCAAGUCGAACGGAAAGGCCCUGCUUUUGUGGGGUGCUCGAGUGGCGAACGGGUGAGUAACACGUGAGUAACCUGCCCUUGACUUUGGGAUAACUUCAGGAAACUGGGGCUAAUACCGGAUAGGAGCUCCUGCUGCAUGGUGGGGGUUGGAAAGUUUCGGCGGUUGGGGAUGGACUCGCGGCUUAUCAGCUUGUUGGUGGGGUAGUGGCUUACCAAGGCUUUGACGGGUAGCCGGCCUGAGGGGGUGACCGGCCACAUUGGGACUGAGAUACGGCCCAGACUCCUACGGGAGGCAGCAGUGGGGAAUAUUGCACAAUGGGCGGAAGCCUGAUGCAGCAACGCCGCGUGCGGGAUGACGGCCUUCGGGUUGUAAACCGCUUUCGCCUGUGACGAAGCGUGAGUGACGGUAAUGGGUAAAGAAGCACCGGCUAACUACGUGCCAGCAGCCGCGGUGAUACGUAGGGUGCGAGCGUUGUCCGGAUUUAUUGGGCGUAAAGGGCUCGUAGGUGGUUGAUCGCGUCGGAAGUGUAAUCUUGGGGCUUAACCCUGAGCGUGCUUUCGAUACGGGUUGACUUGAGGAAGGUAGGGGAGAAUGGAAUUCCUGGUGGAGCGGUGGAAUGCGCAGAUAUCAGGAGGAACACCAGUGGCGAAGGCGGUUCUCUGGGCCUUUCCUGACGCUGAGGAGCGAAAGCGUGGGGAGCGAACAGGCUUAGAUACCCUGGUAGUCCACGCUGUAAACGGUGGGUACUAGGUGUGGGGUUCAUUCCACGGGUUCCGUGCCGUAGCUAACGCUUUAAGUACCCCGCCUGGGGAGUACGGCCGCAAGGCUAAAACUCAAAGGAAUUGACGGGGCCCCGCACAAGCGGCGGAGCAUGCGGAUUAAUUCGAUGCAACGCGUAGAACCUUACCUGGGUUUGACAUGGAUCGGGAGUGCUCAGAGAUGGGUGUGCCUCUUUUGGGGUCGGUUCACAGGUGGUGCAUGGCUGUCGUCAGCUCGUGUCGUGAGAUGUUGGGUUAAGUCCCGCAACGAGCGCAACCCUUGUUCACUGUUGCCAGCACGUUAUGGUGGGGACUCAGUGGAGACCGCCGGGGUCAACUCGGAGGAAGGUGGGGAUGACGUCAAGUCAUCAUGCCCCUUAUGUCCAGGGCUUCACGCAUGCUACAAUGGCUGGUACAGAGAGUGGCGAGCCUGUGAGGGUGAGCGAAUCUCGGAAAGCCGGUCUCAGUUCGGAUUGGGGUCUGCAACUCGACCUCAUGAAGUCGGAGUCGCUAGUAAUCGCAGAUCAGCAACGCUGCGGUGAAUACGUUCCCGGGGCUUGUACACACCGCCCGUCAAGUCAUGAAAGUUGGUAACACCCGAAGCCGGUGGCCUAACCGUUGUGGGGGAGCCGUCGAAGGUGGGACUGGUGAUUAGGACUAAG